GGGACAUGAUGUGGGCAUUUCCUCAACAUAGCUUUCAGUCUCUCCCAUGCUUGGUAUACUGACUCUGUGUCAGUUUGCACAAAAUUAGUUAUUUCCUGCCUCAUUUU
rfam:Nicotiana attenuata strain TT chromosome 8, whole genome shotgun sequence.